rnacentral:lncRNA from 1 species
UCUCCUCUCUCUCCUGCCUUCCUUUUUUUCUCUCUCCUUCCUCCAAUCCUUCCUUUCUCACUCCCUGUUCCUUCCUCUCUCGCUUUCUCCCUUCCUCUCUCUCUCUCUCUCUCUCCCUCCCUUCCUGCCUCUCCCCUCCAUUCAUCCCUCUCUCUCUUUCCCUCCCUCUUUCCUUCCUCUCUUCCUCCCUUCUUUCUUUCCUCUCCCUUUCUCUCUUCCUUCCUCUCUCGCUUUCUCCCUUGCUUCCUCUCUCAGUCUUUCUCCCUCCCUUCCUCUCUCUCCCGUUCUUUCCUUCCCUUUAUCUCUUUCCCCCUUCCUUCUUCUCUCCCUCCCUUCUUCUCUCUCUUUUCCUUUCCUCUGUCCCUCCCUUCCUUAGUAUCUGUCUCCCUUUCUUUCCCUCCCUUUCUCUCUUUCCCUCCCUCCCUUCCUCUCUCUCUCCCUCCCUGCUUCCCUUCCUCUCUCUCCCUCCUUUCUUCUCUCUUCCUUCCUUCCUCUCUCCUCCCUCCCUUCCUCGCUCUCUCUUCCUCCCUCACUUCCUUCCUCCCUCCCUCCUUUCCUCGCUCUCUCCCUCCCUUCCUCUCUCUCUUCCUCCCUCACUUCCUUCCUUCCUCUCUUCUCUCCCUCCUUUCCUUCCUGUCUGUCUCUCUCUCUCUCCUUCCCUCCCUUCCUUGGUUUCUCUUUCUCUCAUAUACACACACAUGCUUAUAUUACUACUUACCCAUAAAUUUACAUGGGUGUACACACACGUUAGAAACCAUGAGAUCAUAGUAAUACUUCCAAUUUCAGUCCACCCUUAGAGUCUUUCUUACCUUCUCCAUUCCAUAUUUGUAUGUCCCUUCUUCUACCAUGAGAAUUUUGGCUCCUCAAAUCAAUACAUCAACACAUCCGCUCAUGUGCUCAAUCCUAUAAUAUGCUUAAGAGUUUCACUGUUUUGCCCACGGUAUCUCCAUCAACACAUUUACUAAAAGGAGUUCAGGAUUCCUUUGUCAGUCUUCCCCCAACAGCAUUCCCUACCCUGCCCAUGACUGAAGGCACAGUAUAAAAUACUGUUUUCAUAGGUUAUAUAUAUUUAGUUAUUUCCUUCUUUAUUUUUCUCUUUUAUUGUAGUUAUGGUAUUCAUUUGAAGUUCACUUACAUUCAGACAAAUUGUUUUUGUUUUUGGACAAAUCCUGUGGCAUGUACAUCCAUGAAGACCCACUAACAGCAGCUGCCCUGGCAUGCUGCCCACGAAGUGGCACAAGGCAUUAGUUCAGAGCUGCAGGCCUCAAAACGGCAUGAGGGCCCAAGCCUUUGUUUCUCAGCUGCCCUCUUGUUCACACUGUGUUAUGUGGCUGACAGCUACUAAUGG